CCCUUAGAUGUUCUGGGCCGCACGCGUGCUACACUGAGUGGAUCAGCGGGUCAGGUUGCGCGAAAGCGUUUCCUAAUCUUUAAAUCCGCUCGUGAUGGGGAUUGACGGUUGCAAUUUUCUGUCAUGAACGAGGAAUACCUUGUAAGCGCGGGUCAUCAUCCCGCGCUGAAUACGUCCCUGCCCUUUGUACACACCGCCCGUCGCUCCUACCGAUUGAGUGGUCCGGUGAGGCCUUGGGAGGGCUAAGUGGGCUGUGUUUCACAGACUACCUGGCCCGAACCUGGUCAAACCUUAUCACUUAGAGGAAGGAGAAGUCGUAACA
rnacentral:rRNA from 1 species